UGAUGAAGCCUUCCGGUGACUUUUACACCACAUGCACCAGUGCUCUCUGCCCAGCUAAGAAGUUUUGGUGGAGUGUACAGAGAUGAGACAAGGCUGGAAAAGGGGAGGACUCGCAGCCUUCCAAUAUACACAAUUGUGCAUAGUGAAAGA